GACGUAGGUGGCGAACGUUAUCCGGAAUUAUUGGGCGUAAAGGGUGCGUAGAUGGCUUGAUAAGUUAGCAGUGGGAAAUCGAGGCUCAACCUCGUGGAAGCUGGUAAUACUGUCAGGCUCGAGUGCAGGAGAGGAAAGUGGAAUUCCAAGUGUAGCGGUGAAAUGCGUAGAGAUUUGGAGGAACACCAGUGGCGAAGGCGACUUUCUGGUCUGUAACUGACACUGAGGCGCGAAAGCGUGGGGAGCGAACAGG
rnacentral:rRNA from 1 species